rnacentral:rRNA from 1 species
AUAGAUUAUUGCAAUUAUUAAUCUUGAACGAGGAAUUCCUAGUAAACGCAGUUCAUCAAACUGCAUUGAUUACGUCCCUGCCCUUUGUACACACCGCCCGUCGCACCUACCGAUUGAAUGGUCCGGUGAAGCCUCGGGAUUGUGACCAGUGCCUUUACUGGUGUUGGUUGCGAGAACUUGUCUAAACCUUAUCAUUUAGAGGAAGGUGAAGUCGUAACAAGGUUUCCGUAGGUGAACCUGCGGAAGGAUCA